rnacentral:rRNA from 1 species
AACGAACGCUGGCGGCAGGCUUAACACAUGCAAGUCGAACGGAUCCUUCGGGAUUAGUGGCAGACGGGUGAGUAACGCGUGGGAACGUACCCUUUGCUACGGAAUAACUCAGGGAAACUUGAGCUAAUACCGUAUGUGCCCUACGGGGGAAAGAUUUAUCGGCAAAGGAUCGGCCCGCGUUGGAUUAGCUAGUUGGUGGGGUAAUGGCCUACCAAGGCGACGAUCCAUAGCUGGUCUGAGAGGAUGAUCAGCCACACUGGGACUGAGACACGGCCCAGACUCCUACGGGAGGCAGCAGUGGGGAAUAUUGGACAAUGGGCGCAAGCCUGAUCCAGCCAUGCCGCGUGAGUGAUGAAGGUCUUGGGAUUGUAAAGCUCUUUCACCGGUGAAGAUAAUGACGGUAGCCGGAGAAGAAGCCCCGGCUAACUUCGUG